rnacentral:rRNA from 1 species
CAGUCGCGUUUGCUUGGACUCAGCCUUACCUCGGUUUGGUGCAUUUCCUUGUGAACGGGCCAGCGUCAAUGUUGUUCGUUGGAAAAGGGUUAGAGAAAUGUGGCAUCUUCGGGUGUGUUAUAGUCCUUUACUGCAUACAUUGACUGGGAUUGAGGAACGCAGCACGCCCUUUGGCCGGGGGUUAGCCUCACGUAACGUGCUUAGGAUGUUGGCAUAAUGGCUUUAAGCGACCCGUCUUGAAACACGGACCAAGGAGUCUAACAUGUGUGCGAGUG